GCCUGGGUGGCUUAGUCGGUUAAGCGUCCGACUUUCGCUUGGGUUUCGACGUGGGUUCGAGCCCCGCGUCAGGCU